rnacentral:rRNA from 1 species
AUGUACGUGACGAGGCCGCUGUCGUGGUACCAGGCCGACGCCUCCGCCGCGGCGGAGGUGCCGCCCGAAGGCCCGGGCUCAGGGUUCCUGGUGGUGGUGGAUGAGACGGGGGAGACAGCCAGGACACACUUCUGGGGCCUGUGCGUGGACAGGGAGAUGCGCGGCCUCCCCUUCCCGCAGAACCGCCAGCUCGCGCUGCGGCCCAGCAGCGGUUCUGACCCUAUAGAGUCAGUUGCAACGGCUGUUGAUGUUGUCGGGGCGAUAGCAGACUUCGCGACCAGCUCCAUGCCCGGUAGGGCGCCCGGGCUCAGUAAGGGCCCCAAGAUGCCCGACUAUACCAUGUUGGUGCCGGUCGUCGGCCAGCCGCUGUCCUCUGGCCGCUACUACGUCGUCCGGGCCGACGGCAAACACAGAGGGAAGGUGUCGGCGUGUUCCAAGGAGGAGGACAAGACAGACCUGCGGUGGUUGGGCUCCUACGUCAAUGACGUGAAGCCACGGGCCUUCGACCGCAGCGACCUCUACCAGCAGGUGGAGGUGCAGCAGCUUCCGUCCAAUGCCUUCAAGGCAGUGGCGGUCGCCGCCGACGGCAUCCCGCCGCACUUCCUGAGUUCCAAGUCAGUUUUGUACCCCUACCCCAAGUCGGUUUGUACCCUCUUAUAUACUCUUGUAUGCCGCACCAAAUCAUCAAUAAGCAACAGUUUUAUUCAGCUUUCACUGAGGAAGAAGGGCUGGAAGGUGAACACCAUGGUGUCCCCCAAGUACCAACUCACCGACGACGCGCAAGGGGUGGACUCCACCCUCUGCUGCCGGAUGCCAGACCUCGGCAGCCUCAGCAUCGCGGAGAGGAGCUCGCCUGCCGUCGUCGUCGGCAGAUGGUACGUCUCGUUCAUCUUCGUCAAGGCUGACGGGGGGCGCAGCCUCAAGGACCAGUUUCGCCGGUGCACGUUCUAUGAGAUGACGAUGGAGCAGAGCUGGGAGCAGAUAUACAGCCACGAUAAUCCAGGGAGCAAGCCGGCGGAGGUCGUGGUGACCGCGACGGUGCGCCGGUCGACGGCUCUGCUGGAUGGCGCCAGCGUGGUGCCUCAGGAGGUAGGCGGGGUGGUGUGGUUCGGAUCGGCGGUGUGCCUGGACAUGGUGGUGUGGGAGAGGAUGAAGUGGGAACUGGAGAGGGGAGGGUGGGUGGCGCCCGGGCCCGGCAAUGGCAACGAGGAGAGGGUAGAGAGGGUGGACAGGCGUGACCGCCUGGGGCAGUGGCACAGGUUUGCAUGCUAUGUGCUGGUGGAGAGGUUUGUGCUCAAGAGGAUGGAUGGCAGCCUCGCACUCACCUGUGUGUUCAGGCACACGGACAAGAUCAAAACCAAGUGGUUGUGA